rnacentral:rRNA from 1 species
AUAGCAUGCAUGUUUAUGUAAUAAAGGACGAAUAGCUCAGUAAAACUGCGUUUAUUUAAUCUGUUUGAUAUGAUAACUACGUGAAAAUGUAGCUAAGGGAACAGAAUAAGACGUAGUACUAUCAGUUUGUUGGCAGUGUAAUGGACUACCAAGACUAUGACGGUUAACGGGGAAUCAGGGUUUGAUACCGGAGAGGGAGCCUGAGAGAUUGCUCCCACGUCCAAGGACGGCAGCAGGCGCGAAAAUUGCCCACUCUUUGUAGGAGGCAGUUAUGAGACGUUGUUUUGUGUUUUUUAAAAAGAAACAAGAAAAUUGGAGGGCAAGUUUGGUGCCAGCAGCCGCGGUAAUACCGACUCCAAGAGUGUGUAUGAGAGAUGCUGCAAUUAAAAAGUCCGUAGUUUUUUAGAGGAGCCAAUGGGGAUUAUAGUAUACAAGGGCGAGAGAUGAAAUGUCAAGACCCCUUGUGGACUAAGCGAGGCGAAAGCGAUAAUCUUGUGGGUAUUCUUUGAUCAAGGACGAAGGGUGGAGGAUCGAAAGUGAUUAGAUACCGCUGUAGUUCCACCAGUAAAAUAUGCCGACAUGUUUUUUGGCAACAAGGAACAGGGAGAAAUCUUAGAGUUCGGGCUUUGGGGAUAGUAUGCUCGCAAGAGUGAAAAUUAAAGAAAUUGACGGAGCUACACCACAAGGAGUGGAUUGUGCGGCUUAAUUUGACUCAACGCGAGAAAUCUUACCAGGCCAAAGUUUAGUGUAGAAAUGAGCUAAACAAAAGUGGUGCAUGGUCGUUGUAAAUUCAUGGGUUGACUUUGAGCUUAAAUGCUUGAAUGAGUGAGAUCUAAAGACUUAUUUUUAUCAAAAAUAGGAAGAUUAGGCUAUAACAGAUCAGUAAUGCCCUUAGAUGGCCUGGGCUGCACGCGCAAUACAAUAUUUCGUAAUUAUAAAAAUAAAAACGUUAUUACAUGGAUUAACGGUUGUUAUUCCGUUAUGAAAGAGGAAUUCCCAGUAAGUGUGUAUCAUUAAUGCAUAUUGAAUAAGUCCCUGUAGCUUGUGACACACCGUCCGUCACUAUCUCAGAUGUUUUCACGAUGAAGA